UACAGAGGGUGCAAGCGUUAAUCGGAAUUACUGGGCGUAAAGCGUGUGUAGGUGGUUUGCUAAGUCAGGUGUGAAAUCCCCAGGCUCAACCUGGGAACUGCAUUUGAUACUGGCAGGCUAGAGUGUGGUAGAGGAUGGUGGAAUUCCCGGUGUAGCGGUGAAAUGCGCAGAUAUCGGGAGGAACACCAGCGGCGAAGGCGGCACUCUGGGCUGGUACUGACGCUGAGGAGCGAAAGCGUGGGUAGCAAACAGG
rnacentral:rRNA from 1 species